GAUGAACGCUGGCGGCGUGCUUAACACAUGCAAGUCGAGCGAAGCACCUUGACGGAUUUCUUCGGAAUGAAGUUUUGGUGACUGAGCGGCGACGGGUGAGUAACGCGUGGUAACCUGCCUCAUACAGGGGGAUAACAGUUGGAAACGGCUGCUAAUACCGCAUAAGCGCACAGUACCGCAUGGUACGGUGUGAAAAACUCCGGUGGUAUGAGAUGGACCCGCGUCUGAUUAGGUAGUUGGUGGGGUAACGGCCUACCAAGCCGACGAUCAGUAGCCGACCUGAGAGGGUGACCGGCCACAUUGGGACUGAGACACGGCCCAA
rnacentral:rRNA from 1 species